rnacentral:rRNA from 1 species
GACGAACGCUGGCGGCGUGCUUAACACAUGCAAGUCGAACGGAAAGGCCCUGCUUGCAGGGUACUCGAUUGGCGAACGGGUGAGUAACACGUGGGUGAUCUGCCCUGCACUUCGGGAUAAGCCCGGGUAACUGGGUCUAAUACCGGAUAGGAGCCAUUUUUCGUGUGAUGGUUGGAAAGUUGUUUAGGUGUAGGAUGAGCUCGCGGCCUAUCAGCUUGUUGGUGGGGUAAUGGCCUACCAAGGCGGCGACGGGUAGCCGGCCUGAGAGGGAGGACGGGCACAUUCGGACUGAGAUACGGACAAGACUCCGACGCGAGGCAGAGGUAGGGAAUAUUGCACAAUGGGCGCAAGCCUGAUGCAGCGACGCCGCGUGGGGGAUGACGGCCUUCGGGUUGUAAACUCCUUUCGCUAGGGACGAAGAUUUUUGUGACGGUACCUAGAUAAGAAGCACCGGCUAACUCCGUG